CAAUAGCGUAUAUUAAAGUUGUUGCAGUUAAAAAGCUCGUAGUUGGAUUUGUGGUUCGUCCCGCCGGCUGGGUCAUUGACCUUUGCUGUGCUGGUCGUCCAUCCUUGGGUGGAAUCUGUGUGGCAUUAGGUUGUCGCGCAGGGGAUGCCCAUCGUUUACUGUGAAAAAAUUAGAGUGUUCAAAGCAGGCUUAUGCCGUUGAAUAUAUUAGCAUGGAAUAAUGAUAUAGGACCUUGGUACUAUUUUGUUGGUUUGCGCACUGAGGUAAUGAUUAAUAGGGACAGUUGGGGGUAUUCGUAUUCCAUUGUAAGAGGUGAAAUUCUUGGAUUUUUGGAAGACGAACUACUGCGAAAGCAUUUACCAAGGAUGUUUNCAUUGA
rnacentral:rRNA from 1 species